AACGAACGCUGGCGGUAUGCUUAACACAUGCAAGUCGAGCGCCCCGCAAGGGGAGCGGCAGACGGGUGAGUAACGCGUGGGAAUCUACCCAUCUCUACGGAAUAACGCAUGGAAACGUGUGCUAAUACCGUAUACGUCCUUCGGGAGAAAGAUUUAUCGGAGAUGGAUGAGCCCGCGUUGGGUUAGCUAGUUGGUGGGGUAAAGGCCUACCAAGGCGACGAUCCAUAGCUGGUCUGAGAGGAUGAUCAGCCACACUGGGACUGAGACACGGCCCAGACUCCUACGGGAGGCAGCAGUGGGGAAUAUUGGACAAUGGGCGCAAGCCUGAUCCAGCCAUGCCGCGUGAGUGAUGAAGGCCCUAGGGUUGUAAAGCUCUUUCACCGGUGAAGAUAAUGACGGUAACCGGAGAAGAAGCCCCGGCUAACUUCGUGCCAGCCGCCGCGGUAAAAC
rnacentral:rRNA from 1 species